rnacentral:rRNA from 1 species
AGCCGCCGCGGUAAUACCAGCUCUCCGAGUGGUAGGGACGAUUAUUGGGCUUAAAGCGUCCGUAGCCGGCCCGGCAAGUCUUCCGUUAAAUCCAACGAUUCAAUCGUUGGACUGCGGGAGAUACUGUUGGGCUAGGAGGCGGGAGAGGCCGACGGUAUUCUCGGGGUAGGGGUAAAAUCCUAUAAUCCCGGGAAGACCACCAGUGGCGAAGGCGGUCGGCUAGAACGCGCUCGACGGUGAGGGACGAAAGCUGGGGGAGCGAACCGGAUUAGAUACCCGGGUAGUCCCAGCUGUAAACGAUGCGGGCUAGGUGUUGGAGCGGCUACGGGCCGCUUCAGUGCCGCAGGGAAACCAUUAAGCCCGCCGCCUGGGGAGUACGGCCGCAAGGCUGAAACUUAAAGGAAUUGGCGGGGGAGCACCACAAGGGGUGAAGCUUGCGGUUUAAUUGGAGUCAACGCCGGAAAACUUACCGGGGGCGACAGCAGGAUGAAGGCCAGAUUGAAGGUCUUGCUGGACGAGCUGAGAGGAGGUGCAUGGCCGUCGCCAGUUCGUGCCGUGAGGUGUCCUGUUAAGUCAGGCAACGAUCGAGACCCACGCCCCCUGUUGCCACCGAGGAGGUUUCUCCAAGGGGCACUCUGGGGGGACUGCCGUCGAUAAGGCGGAGGAAGGAGUGGGCCACGGCAGGUCAGUAUGCCCCGAAUCCCCCGGGCCACACGCGAGCUGCAAUGGCUGGGACAGUGGGUUCCGACCUCGAAAGGGGGAGGUAAUCCCUAAACCCAGCCGUAGUUGGGAUCGAGGGCUGAAACUCGCCCUCGUGAACAUGGAAUCCCUAGUAAUCGCGCGUCAUCAUCGCGCGGUGAAUACGUCCCCGCUCCUUGCACACACCGCCCG